rnacentral:tRNA from 3 species
GCUGAUAUGGCUCAGUAGGUAGAGCGCACCCUUGGUAAGGGUGAGGUCCCCAGUUCGACUCUGGGUAUCAGCACCA